CUUAGUGGCAGACGGGUGAGUAACAUGUGGGUAUCUACCCUUUGGCCUGGAAUAACACGAGGAAACUUGUGCUAAUACCGGAUAAGUCUUUACGGAGAAAGCUUUAUGCACCAUUGGAGGAGCCCGCACUUGAUUAGUUUGUUGGUAGGGUAAUGGCCUACCAAGACUAUGAUCAAUAGCUGAUUUGAGAGGAUGAUCAGCCACAUUGGGACUGAGACACGGCCCAAACUCCUACGGGAGGCAGCAGUGGGGAAUCUUGCACAAUGGAGGAAACUCUGAUGCAGCGAUGCCGCGUGAGUGAAGAAGGCCUUUGGGUUGUAAAGCUCUUUCGUCGGGGAAGAAAAUGACUGUACCCGAAUAAGAAGGUCCGGCUAACUUCGUGCCAGCAGCCGCGGUAAUACGAAGGGACCUAGCGUAGUUCGGAAUUACUGGGCUUAAAGAGUUCGUAGGUUGUUGAAAAAGUUGGUGGUGAAAUCCCAGAGCUUAA
rnacentral:rRNA from 1 species